rnacentral:rRNA from 1 species
CAGUCGCCGCGGUAAUACGUAGGGUGCAAGCGUUAAUCGGAAUUACUGGGCGUAAAGCGUGCGCAGGCGGUCCGCUAAGACAGAUGUGAAAUCCCCGGGCUUAACCUGGGAACUGCAUUUGUGACUGGCAAGCUAGAGUAUGGCAGAGGGGGGUGGAAUUCCGCGUGUAGCAGUGAAAUGCGUAGAUAUGCGGAGGAACACCGAUGGCGAAGGCAGCCCCCUGGGCUAAGAUUGACGCUCAUGCACGAAAGCGUGGGGAGCGAACAGGAUUAGAUACCCCCGUAGUCCCUGUCUCUUAUAC